AACAGGAUUAGAUACCCUGGUAGUCCACGCCGUAAACGAUGAGUGCUAGGUGUUGGGGGGCUACGCCCCUCAGUGCCGAAGGUAACCCAUUAAGCACUCCGCCUGGGGAGUACGGCCGCAAGGCUGAAACUCAAAGGAAUUGACGGGGGCCCGCACAAGCGGUGGAGCAUGUGGUUUAAUUCGAAGCAACGCGAAGAACCUUACCAGGGCUUGACAUCCCGCUGACCCCUCCAGAGAUGGAGGUUUCCUUCGGGACAGCGGUGACAGGUGGUGCAUGGUUGUCGUCAGCUCGUGUCGUGAGAUGUUGGGUUCAGUCCCGCAACGAGCGCAACCCUUGUCGUUAGUUGCCAGCAUUUCGGAUGGGCACUCUAACGAGACAGCCGGUGAAAGCCGGAGGAAGGUGGGGAUGACGUCAAAUCAUCAUGCCCCUUAUGUCCUGGGCUACACACGUGCUACAAUGGCUGGUACAAAGGGCAGCGAACCCGCGAGGGGGAGCCAAUCCCAAAAAGCCAGUCUCAGUUCGGAUCGCAGGCUGCAACUCGCCUGCGUGAAGCCGGAAUCACUAGUAAUCGCGGAUCAGCAUGCCGCGGUGAAUAUGUUCCCGGGCCUUGUACACACCGCCCGUCACACCACGAGAGUUUGCAACACCCGAAGUCGGUGAGGCAACCUUUUAGGAGCCAGCCGCCGAAGGUGGGGCAGAUGAUUGGGGUGAAGUCGUAACAAGGUAACC
rnacentral:rRNA from 1 species